rnacentral:rRNA from 1 species
CCUACGGGGGGCAGCAGUGGGGAAUAUUGGACAAUGGGCGAAAGCCUGAUCCAGCCAUGCCGCGUGUGUGAAGAAGGCCUUCGGGUUGUAAAGCACUUUCAGUGGGGAAGAAAGCCUUGGGGCUAAUACCCUCGAGGAAGGACAUCACCCACAGAAGAAGCACCGGCUAACUCCGUGCCAGCAGCCGCGGUAAUACGGAGGGUGCGAGCGUUAAUCGGAAUUACUGGGCGUAAAGCGCGCGUAGGUGGUCUGAUAAGCCGGUUGUGAAAGCCCCGGGCUCAACCUGGGAACGGCAUCCGGAACUGUCAGGCUAGAGUGCAGGAGAGGAAGGUAGAAUUCCCGGUGUAGCAGUGAAAUGCGUAGAGAUCGGGAGGAAUACCAGUGGCGAAGGCGGCCUUCUGGACUGACACUGACGCUGAGGUGCGAAAGCGUGGGUAGCAAACAGGAUUAGAUCCCCGGGUAGUC